CCCAGGAUGCAGCUGUGCCCAGGACUCUGUUCCAGUGAACUUCUGAGGCCCUGAGACUGACACUGGGAUUCUAUUCAAAUGGUGUUUCUUUGAAGGCAGUUCUGGACUAGAGGGACCCUAGAGGUUUUUCUGCCCCAGAAGAAAAAACUCUGUUCCAGACAUUUUUGUGUUCCCCUGGGAUGAGAAGCAUCUGGCAACUUACAUUUUAAAAAAGAAGUACGCAAAGUGUGCAGCCUGAUGAAUAUAGCGGUGCACCUAGCACCUGGACGAAGAGAUGGAACACAACAGCUGCUGGCACCUCCUGAUGGGAGCUCCUGGAAGUUCUGCCUGCACCAGCACCUGGCUGCCUGCACACCUUUUCUUCAACAAGAUUUUAAAUGACUGAGUUAUGUUCGUACACAAGAAGUCUGUUCGAAGAAAGAAGCCAGAAUGAUCCUUUUAAGACUGAAGUCAACAUUUUAUUCUUCUGCUCAAAACCUGGCAAUGGUUCCCCAUUUCACUGGGAAUAAAAGCCAAGGCCUUCUAGUGGACUGCAGGGUCCCCACCAGGUGACCCCUUGCUCUCCCUGCUGCAGCCACACUGGCUUCCCUCCAAUUGCUUCAGCGCGCAGAGCUGCUGCACCUCCCUCCCCACCACCGCCAGUCCUUUGAACUUGAUCGAGGCUUUGUUCAGAUGUCACCUUCUCAGUGAGAUUCCCCCUCCAUUCUUCACUCCGGGUCUCCUUACUUAAUCUUUUCCUUUUACCAGUAGUAUUUAUCACCUUCUAAAGUACUCCAUAAUUUACUUAUUCGCUAAGGUCUGCCCUCCCCC